GUUACCAAGCCCUCUUGUCAUUCAGAAAACUUGUUUUGCAUUACUGGUAUUGAUGGUUUUAGUUUUAUACAUCGUACCUGAAAAAUGACUUCCUGUUUUCGGUUAUAGCUAAGUCACUGGCAUUUGUAAACAGACUUUCUCUCCGGAUUUUCGUUGAAAAUUAAUAAGGAAAGAACCCGAUUGGCCGAUGGGCAUCUACAAUCCGAAAUGAAGAUAAUUUCUAGUAAUUUUUCUCCGAGGAUACAAACUUUAUCAAAAUCGGAAUACUUAUUUCAGGAAAGAUCUGGGAAUGAAAUCAUCUUCUUCCAUGACUUGGAAUAUAGUUUGUUUCGUUUUGUUGAUUUUCUACCAAGCCAUACAAAUCGCACAGUCUUUUGGUUGCGCAACUUGUGCCUUUCCUGCUCUGAAUUUCUUUUGCUGUAUUUUGGUGGAGACGUGCUGUUGGAAAAAUAACGAGGAAGGAGAAUCUUAGAAAGAAUGCCGGACCCAAUGAGGAUGAUGAGAACGUAUAGAAGAAUAUACAACAUUUUCGUUUUAUUUAUACUUUUCGUAUCCUUAAUUUCCGGAGCCGAAAGUUUUGCUUGCGGAUCAUGCGGAAUCCCAAUUUUCUAUAACUUCUGUUGCACCCUUUUGCAGCGCUGCUGUGAUCAGGUUAACAAUGGUGGCUCUGCAGGUGGAUUCGGAUCUUCGGUGAUGUCUUCCAUGUAACAGAUAUUUUUGAUAACAGAUAUUUGCCUAAGUGGGGAACCAAAAAUGUGUAAAAUAAAAAUAUUUGAAGUCACGUAAUUCUGGAGUUCGGGAUUUAAUUACAAACUGAUUUCAUUUAUGAUGAAAAUGGAGUUCAAAUCAAAUAUUUUUAAAAUUUUGCUGAAAAUUCGAAUUUAUAAAACAAAAUCUUGAAAAGGUUUGAGGAGUAAUAAAACGAUUGUCGCGCCUCCUAUUUUACAAUUACCAUCGUAACACUGACUUAAUGAACGAAAACAAUAACAGACUCUCCGCUGCAAUACAAUAUAACAGACUCAAUAAAGUUUUCCGCAGACAUAAAAUAAAGCCUGUAGCGAAGCAUCUAGCUGUAACUCUUGUUUUGGAACCUUACUUAAAGUAAAUUUUAGUUUUAAAGAAGAAAAUUAUAAUAUAAGGGCCUUUUCAUGUGUAUAUCUGGAAAUAAAAUCUGGUUG